GCAGCGCUGGCCCUCCGGGGCCAGCGAGGAUCGCAAC
rfam:Actinokineospora bangkokensis strain 44EHW Scaffold23, whole genome shotgun sequence.